CGAGUAAGCCAGAUGAUCGCGGCGGUUGUGCCUUACGGCAGAGCCGACGAGGAAAGUCCGAGCUGCAUAGGGCAAGGGUGCCGGGUAACUCCCGGUGGAGGCGACUCCAAGGACAGUGCAACAGAAAUAGACUACUGCUUACGCAGUACAGGUGGAAAGGUGAGGUAAAGGCUCACCGGCGGUUAGGCGACUAACCGGCCAUGUAAACCCCAUCCGCAGCAACACCGACAGGGGCGCCGGCCCGGCAUGUACCCCGAAAGGUGGCUUGAGCGGUGCAGAAAUGUACCGCCUAGAUAGAUGAUCAUUUAAUACAGAACUCGGCUUACAGACUUGCUCGUAAC
rnacentral:RNase_P_RNA from 1 species